rnacentral:lncRNA from 1 species
UGCUAUCUUACAUGUACAUAUAUAAACUAUGAGUUUUAUUACAAUACUGAUAUUAAAGAGUGGAAAAAGGAUAAAUAAUUUUUUUUAUAGAACUCACAAGUAUAAUAUUAAGUUCCCAUUCGUCUAGCUUUGUUAUUUUUUUUUAUUCCCGGGACAGUUACUUCCUUUUUCUCAUUCUAUCAUCAUAUUAUUCAUUACAUUAGCCAUGCAAAUACAACAAGAAAAUUAUGGCAACAACGCUUUGGUACUCUAUUUAAUUUUAACCAAAUUCUUCAGUGCCAUUACAGCAUGCAUCAACAUCUGCUUAACUUCCAUAAAACAUUACGACCUUGCUUAUAUAGAUUCUCAAUACCUACUUAUUACAACCUACUUGUCCUGAUGUCCCUCAAACAAAAAUUUACUCACCAUAAGAAAAUUAGAAACCAGCUGCUAUUUUACAUGCGGUUUUCCUAAGAAGAAAUAUUUAAGGUUAAUCAUCUUAAGGCUGAGACACAUUUACAAAUGUUAAAACAAAUAUCAAAAACAAUAUAAAAUAGUGGGGGUCAAAAGAAACUUUCAAUAUUCUGUUUGAUAACGUAAAUAUGACCAUAAUAUAGUUAUAUUGGUCAACUCAACUUCAUGAAAGAAAGUGUAACUCAAAAU